AGGAAGAUUUACCUGACUGUGAAGUUAGAAGAGUAACCUGGGGGAGCUCGAUUCAUCCUCUUCUCCCAUUCAACACCCACUAUUGGGAGCCAGCCUGUCCUCAGGAGGCAUGCACACUGAUAUUAUCUCUGGCUAAAGAUUUUAUUACUGUGCUUACCUUAAUUCACACCUUGACAGGUUCGGGGUACAUGUGAAGAUUUGUUACAUAGGCAAACACGUGUCACGGAGACUUGUACAGAUUAU